AGAGUUUGAUCCUGGCUCAGGAUGAACGCUAGCGGGAGGCCUAACACAUGCAAGCCGAGCGGUAUAGAAUCUUCGGAUUUUAGAGAGCGGCGUACGGGUGCGGAACACGUGUGCAACCUACCUUUAUCUGGAGGAUAGCCUUUCGAAAGGAAGAUUAAUACUCCAUAAUAUAUUGAUUGGCAUCAAUUAAUAUUGAAAGCUCCGGCGGAUAGAGAUGGGCACGCGCAAGAUUAGUUAGUUGGUGAGGUAACGGCUCACCAAGACGAUGAUCUUUAGGGGGCCUGAGAGGGUGAUCCCCACACUGGUACUGAGACACGGACCAGACUCCUACGGGAGGCAGCAGUGAGGAAUAUUGGACAAUGGGUGCAAGCCUGAUCCAGCCAUCCCGCGUGAAGGACGACUGCCCUAUGGGUUGUAAACUUCUUUUGUAUAGGGAUAAACCUCUCCUCGUGAGGAGAGCUGAAGGUACUAUACGAAUAAGCACCGGCUAACUCCGUG
rnacentral:rRNA from 1 species